AAUAAGUUCCCUUAUUCAUAACCACUCUGUUUUUGGGUGUUUUUUGCAUUAUUUCCACCCUCCUUGACAAUUUCAUAUUACACCAAGAAGCUUUUCUAUUGGGGUAAUUAAAGACCAAAUCUCACAACUGAAAAAAAAAAUCAAAUUUAGUUGGUAUUUCUAAUAAUAAAAUAAAAAAAAUUAUGAAGUAAGCCACACAUAGUGUGGAUUUAUAAACCAGUGGCAGAGCUAUAUUGAUGGGAGUGAGAUUAGUUCCAAUAAUCUUUAGAUUUUAAUAAAAC
rnacentral:lncRNA from 1 species